rnacentral:rRNA from 1 species
GGGGUAGAUGGGGGGCACCCUGAUCCAGCAUGCCGCGUGUGUGAAGAAGGCCUGCGGGUUGUAAAGCGCUUUCCGUGGGGACAAAAAGUGACGGGACAAUACCCCGAUAUCUUGAUUUAACCCAUACAAGAAGCACCGGCUAACUCUGUGCCAGCGAGCCGUCGGUCAAUACAUUAGGGUGCAAGCGUUAAUCGCAAUUACUGGGCGUAAAGCGCACGUACGCGGCGUGAUAAUAUUUGAUGUGAAAUCCCCGGGAUUAACUUGACAAUUGCAUUCAAGACUGUCGCGCUAGACUAUGGGAGAGAGAAAUGUAAUUCCAGGUGUAGCAGAGAAAUGCAUACAUAUCUGGAGGAACAUCAGUGGCCAAAGCGGCUUCUUGGACCAAUACUGACGCUGAGGUGCUAAAACGUGGGGAUCAAACAAGAUUAGAUACCCUGGUAGUCCACGCUGUAAACAAUGAGAACUAGACGUUGGAAGGAUCUGCCUUUCAUUGUCGCACCUAACACGAUAAGUUCUCCACCUGGAGGAGUACGGCCGCAAGGUUG